ensembl:lncRNA
UAGUAACUAUUACUUUCUAAAACUUGUUGCUAUUUCUCACAUAGAUUCAUUUAUGUUUCAGAAUUUAUAUUGUCAAAGAAACAUUUUUUUAAAUCAAUAUUAUUGAUAUAGUUCUUUUGAUGUAGUUCCUUUUUUCAUGGAAAUCAGAUUUUUCCUGUUGCUGUUGUGUUUGUUCAAUAUGUAUUAUUGUUUUCUUCUGAAAAGACUUGCUUUCAUGACCAAAUUGCUGUGGGUAUCAUAUCAUUAUGUAAAUUCGUAGGAAUUAGCAUACUCUUGGUUUUGUGGUUUUAGCAGUCUUCACCUUCCCAUUUCUUCUCUUCCCUUUCUUCUAUCUUAAUUUCUUCUGGAAAAGUUUAGAUGCUGCCUAGUGUCCUAACAAAAUGAAAUAUCAGCAGUAUGUGAAUAGUUUACCUAAUCUAUUAGCUCAAUAUUUUAAAUUUUAGGAUUUUUAAAAAUAGGAUUUCUGAUAAUAAGCAAAAUAGAACAAUAAUAAAUCAUGUACGUAAGAGAAGUUUGUUUUCGGCGAGACCAAUAAGGGGAUUAGGCCAGAUGAGAAACAGAUGAGGGGAUUAGGCCUAUCGCUGUAUUUUGAGCACUGGGUCUUCUUGGUAUUUUGUUUUCCACCAAGGAGGAGUGGAGGCUUAUGUGAAUAUCAUGCCUAAAGAUGAGUACUUGCUGUUGUUUAAUAUGCAUAAAGACUAAUUGAGUAGAUUCUCAUUAUAGCCACUUAAUGCCAUUAUGACCCUGGUGAAAGAAUUCUAAAGACGUAUUAAAAGAAUGCCUCUUAGAUAUUUUUCUCAUUUUCCAUUUCCAUAAUGUUUUAUGGUAAAAUGAUCUGAUUUGGAAACAGAGAACUUGGAACUUAAAAAAAAGCCAAAUUCCAGUUUAAAUCAGCUAUGUUUGUGAUGUCGCUGGUCUAUUCUACCCCAAUUGUUCAUUUUGAUCUCAGCUAGGAAUUAAAGCUGUUUUUUUUCUAAGUUGAUGUCAGAGUCAACCACCCUCUAAAAUAUUAUCUGUUGAGGGUUUAAGGUGGAGAAGAAUGGAUAGCAUGGAGAAUGUAUUGUACUUACUUAUCAGCAAUAGUAGACUAAUGUGUAUAGAUGGUGACAAGUAUUAACUUUCCCUGAUCCAAUUCUUCUCAAGUGAAUAUAUUUCAGAUUCUCUGCUUUGAAAGCAUAGUGAAGGAAGAAAAAAAGGAUGGUCUUCUAGAUUAUGGAAGACCAUAAUUUAUUCAUAUGAAGAAUAAAGAUUAUAUAAUGUAGCAAUCCUGUUAGAAUCUGUGGGAAAGUUAUCAUAGGUAUGUACAAACUGGAUAUGUAGGUUGAAUCCCAGGAGGACUGGCUUAUUCCUUAAACCUUUUGACCAACUUUGGCUGGAAUAGGAUGCCCUUAGAUAAAAUACUUUAAAGUAGGUAAUCAGUCUACUUUGUGUAGAAGUAAUUUCUUUUCUUUCUUUUUUUUGUCUUUUGUCUUUUCAGGCUGUACCUGGGGCAUAUGGAGGUUCCCAGGCUAGGGGUCAAAUCACAGCUGCAGCUGCUGGCCUACACCACAACCACAGCAACCCAGGAUCUGAGCCGAGUCUGCGACCUACACCACAGGUCAUGGCAAUGCUGGAUCCGUAACCCACUAAGCGAGACCAGGGAUCAAACCCGAAUCUUCAUGGAUCCUAGUUGUGUUCAUUAACCACUGAGCCACGAAGGGAACUCUGUGUAGAAGUAAUUUCAAUGGAAAUGAUUUUCAGUUUAGUUAAUGAAUUUCUUUUGAGUGUUAUCGCUUUGCUUCUAGUAUGAAAUAGUGCUAGCUCGAUGCCAAAGCUGUGACCUUGUGAGUAUUUACUCUUUGGUACAUGAAACAGGACAUUGAAGAGUUCUUAAAAAUAAGAGAGAGAAAGAGAGAGGAAAAAAGAGAGUUUUGGAGUUAUAAGACUUAUUCUUCACCUUAAAAUAAAAUAAAAAAAUGUUCACUUUGGCUUAGCAGCCUAACCUAAUGACAUAAGUGGUCCAUAGUAAUAGAUCCUCAUUUCCCACAUGGUAGUUUCUUGUAUUAAGAUCAGAGUUUGGCUGACUCUUGAAUAGGGUGAAAAUGAGAUGGGAUAGUGGCCUUUACUUAUAUUUCACAUGCACCCCAGAAUUCACUGAGCUGUGUGGCUUGCAAUAAGUGAGAACUGAGGAAAGGAGAAGGCAGGAAACAAACACAUAAGGGCAUGGGAGCAGGGGAGAGUGCUUUGGAAAAAUUGGGUGGCUUGUGUGUUUUAUGAUGUUAUAAUCUGAGAUCUGAGUGAUCUCUAAACCAAAUCUGACUCAUAAGUACAUCUGAUUUAAUGUAUGUGUUUUAAAAAGAAAAUUUAAUUGUCAAACUUGAAGAAUCAGGAAAUUCACGUAAGAAUUUAUAUUUUUGGCUUCUUUAAAAAAUUGGAAAAUCUGGCAGUUGUGGACUUGAAUUUUCAAUGGUACACGCUGCUCUGUCUGUGUAAUGAGUGCCUGCCUCCACCAGAAGGAGCCAGCGUUUCAGAGACAUGAACUCCAAUUUGUGGAGGCUCCAGGGCGCCCCGUUUUCUCAGACACUGACACCCUUUGCUCAUUUAUUCCAUUUAUCUGCUCCAAAAGGCAGGUGAGCUUGCGGCUCCUGGUUUAUGUGCUAAUAGGCCUGAAGGCUGACACAGUAGCUUUUUGCUGUUUCCUUUCUCCUUGAUGUUAAGUUGAGAAAAUGCGUUGAAAUUCACUAGACUGGUUAUACACUGGGUUAUCUAACUCCUCCUGUGUUUUUUUUAACCCAGAAAUAUCCAUAAGGUUAGGUUUUCUGCUCUUGGGUUCUUCUGUGUAGAGACUUCUAGGAGAUCCUCUGGAGCUGUGUGCCAUCUCUGCGUUGUUACAUCUCUGCCCUGGCGUGCUUCAAGCUAUAUCAGGGUCCUCAUCCUUAGGGGAAAAAAGUUCUUUUUUUCAGAGACUGCCCAGUUGGUGGACUUGACCAGACAGAGGGCUAUUGGACACAUGGGUCAAAAGUUCUUGCUGGUGGUGCUCCCUGCUUUCAGGGCCCAGGGUGUAUGGCCCAAGCUUUGGAAGAUGAAGGUGGGCCAAGGUAAAGAUAUUCAAUCACCUUCAAACGUUAUGGCUACUGUUAUGUCAAGACUGGGAAUAAAGUCAACUCAGGUACUUCUUAAAGAUGGAAAUUUAGGGAAAUGCCUAGGUAUUUCCUGGCUACAACUAAAUAUUUAACCUCUUUAUAAGUAUAUUGGUAAUAACUAGGAUAAUUGACAAAACUUGGGAAAAAAUUUAAGACCUUCCUCAUACUAUUCAGCAGGAUAAAUUCCAGCUGGAUCAUAGAAUUAAAUAUAAAGAUUACAAAAUUUUAGGAGUUCCUGCUGUGGCACAGUG